CGAACGGGUGAGUAACACGUGGGUGAUCUGCCCUGCACUUUGGGAUAAGCCUGGGAAACUGGGUCUAAUACCGAAUAGGACCACGCGCUUCAUGGUGUGUGGUGGAAAGCUUUUGCGGUGUGGGAUGGGCCCGCGGCCUAUCAGCUUGUUGGUGGGGUAAUGGCCUACCAAGGCGACGACGGGUAGCCGGCCUGAGAGGGUGACCGGCCACACUGGGACUGAGAUACGGCCCAGACUCCUACGGGAGGCAGCAGUGGGGAAUAUUGCACAAUGGGCGCAAGCCUGAUGCAGCGACGCCGCGUGAGGGAUGACGGCCUUCGGGUUGUAAACCUCUUUCAGUAGGGACGAAGCGCAAGUGACGGUACCUAUAGAAGAAGCACCGGCCAACUACGUGCCAGCAGCCGCGGUAAUACGUAGGGUGCGAGCGUUGUCCGGAAUUACUGGGCGUAAAGAGCUCGUAGGUGGUUUGUCGCGUUGUUCGUGAAAACUCACAGCUUAACUGUGGGCGUGCGGGCGAUACGGGCAGACUAGAGUACUGCAGGGGAGACUGGAAUUCCUGGUGUAGCGGUGGAAUGCGCAGAUAUCAGGAGGAACACCGGUGGCGAAGGCGGGUCUCUGGGCAGUAACUGACGCUGAGGAGCGAAAGCGUGGGGAGCGAACAGGAUUAGAUACCCUGGUAGUCCACGCCGUANACGGUGGGUACUAGGUGUGGGUUCCUUCCUUGGGAUCCGUGCCGUAGCUAACGCAUUAAGUACCCCGCCUGGGGAGUACGGCCGCAAGGCUAAAACUCNNNGNAAUUGACGGGGGCCCGCACAAGCGGCGGAGCAUGUGGAUUAA
rnacentral:rRNA from 1 species